GACGAACGCUGGCGGCGUGCCUAAUACAUGCAAGUCGAACGCAGUGGGGACGGGUGAGUAACACGUGGGUAACCUCCCAUCAGAGGGGAUAACCCUUGGAAACAGGUGCUCAACCGAUACUGGUGGAUGAACCCGCGGUGCAUGAGUUAGUUGGUGAGGUAACGGCUCACCAAGGCCACGAUGCAUAGCUGACCUGAGAGGAUGAUCGGCCACACUGGGACUGAGACACGGCCCAGACUCCUACGGGAGGCAGCAGUAGGGAAUCUUGGGCAAUGGGCGAAAGUCUGACCGAGCAACGCCGCGUGAGUGAAGAAGGUUUUCGGGUCGUAAAACUCUGUUGUUAGGGAAGCGGUAUCUAACCAAAAAGCAACGGCUAACUCCGUGCCAGCAGCCGCGGUAAUUC
rnacentral:rRNA from 1 species